GUUGGAAAUAGCUAGUUAACAGAGUAAUCAGGCUUGCCAAUGGAUUGCUGGCAGGUUUCUCUGGGUGUAAAAGGCUCCUUAGCGUAUCAUACGUUCUGGCUCCUAUAACUGUUAGAAAAACAGCGACCUGUUUAUUGUCAGGAAUGUCAUUAGCUGUGAAAUAUUGUUCAAGCCUUCCAACCCAAGAGGCCCAUAAAAUAUAUGCAC